CAGAUCGUCAGCUAAGGUCCCUAAAUGUAAGUUAAGUGGUAAAGGAUGUGGAAUUGCACAGACAACCAGGAUGUUGGCUUAGAAGCAGCCACUCAUUUAAAGAGUGCGUAAUAGCUCACUGGUCGAGUGAUCCUGCGCCGAAAAUUUCCGGGGCUAAAACGUACUACCGAAGCUACGGCAUCAUUAUGAUGGGUAGGGGAGCUUUCUAUACGGGUUGAAGCAUGACCGUAAGGACAUGUGGACUGUAUAGAAGUGAGAAUGUUGGCAUGAGUAGCGAGAUGUGGGUGAGAAUCCCACAGGCCGUAAACCCAAGGUUUCCAGGGGAAGGUUCGUCCGCCCUGGGUUAGUCAGGACCUAAGCCGAGGCCGAAAGGCGUAGGUGAUGGACAACAGGUUGAUAUUCCUGUACCACCAAUAACCGUUUGAGAAAUGGGAUGACACAGAAGGAUAAGCUAACCGCACUGUUGGUUAUGUGCGGGCAAGUAUUGAGGCAGUUCUGGUAGGCAAAUCCGCCAGAAUAAUGCUAGGGUACGAUGCGGAGCGAAAUUUAGUAGCGAAGUAGCUGAUUUCACACUGUCGAGAAAAGUCUCUAUCGAGGUUAAAGGUGCCUGUACCGCAAACCGACACAGGUGGGUGAGGAGAGUAUCCUAAGGCCAGCCAGAGAACUGUUGUUAAGGAACUCGGCAAAAUGACCCCGUAACUUAGGGAGAAGGGGUGCCUUCGAAAGAAGGCCGCAGAGAAUAGGCCCAAGCGACUGUUUACCAAAAACAUAGGUUUCUGCUAAGUCGCAAGACGAUGUAUAGGAGCUGACGCCUGCCCGGUGCUGGAAGGUUAAGGGGAUCUGUUAGAGCAAUCGAAGCAGUGAACUUAAGCCCCAGUAAACGGCGGCCGUAACUAUAACGGUCCUAAGGUAGCGAAAUUCCUUGUCGGGUAAGUUCCGACCCGCACGAAAGGCGUAAUGAUUUGAGCACUGUCUCGACAAUGCAUCCGGUGAAAUUGAAGUACCAGUGAAGAUGCUGGUUACC
rnacentral:rRNA from 1 species